rnacentral:rRNA from 1 species
UUUGAGGAUUUGAUCCUGGUCCAGGACGAACGCUAGCGGCGUGCUUUAAGCAUGCAAGUGGGACGGUCGCCGUAAGGCGACAGUCGCGAACGGCUGAGUAACACGUAGGUACCUAUCCUUUGGUGGGGAAUAGUCCGCCGAAAGGCGGGGUAAUACCGCAUAACCCCGUUCGCAGAACGAGCAAUGUCACCAAUAAAUACCAAUAAUCCAAUUACAAAUGCCCAAUGUAUGAAAUGUAUUUUAAAUUUGCAUUUAAUUGGAAAUUUGAAAUUGGUACUUAUUUGAAAUUUGGCAUUUCUCGCUCUGCGAGCGAGUAAAGGGCUUAACUGCCCGCCGAUUGAGGGACCUGCGGCCUAUCAGCUUGUUGGUGGGGUAAUGGCCUACCAAGGCUACGACGGGUAGGGGGCGUGAGAGCGUGACCCCCCAGAAGGGCACUGAGAUACGGGCCGGUUGUAAACCACUUUUGACGAGACAGACAUGUCUCGUAGAAUAAGCACCGGCUAACUCCGUGCCAGCAGCAGCGGUAAUACGGAGGGUGCAAGCGUUGUCCGGAUUUAUUGGGCGUAAAGAGUUCGUAGGCGGUUAGGUAAGUCACUUUUCAAAUACCGGGGCUCAACCUCGGAAAGGGGAGU